rnacentral:rRNA from 1 species
UGGGGAAUCUUGCGCAAUGGGCGAAAGCCUGACGCAGCAACGCCGCGUGCGGGAAGAAGGCUCUCGGGUUGUAAACCGCUUUCAGCAGGAACGAAAAUGACGGUACUUGCAGAAGAAGGUGCGGCCAACUACGUGCCAGCAGCCGCGGUGACACGUAGGCACCAAGCGUUGUCCGGAUUUAUUGGGCGUAAAGAGCUCGUAGGCGGUUCGGUAAGUCGGUUGUGAAAACUUGGGGCUUAACCCCAAGCCUGCAUCCGAUACUGCUGUGACUAGAGUUCGGUAGGGGAGUGGGGAAUUCCUAGUGUAGCGGUGAAAUGCGCAGAUAUUAGGAGGAACACCGGUGGCGAAGGCGCCACUCUGGGCCGAUACUGACGCUGAGGAGCGAAAGCGUGGGUAGCAAACAGG